AGAAAGAUUCUUCCUGGGACUGGAGUCCACUUCUCAACAUUAUUCCCGAGGUGGUCCAGCCUCAUGUUGAUCCCAUAAGGAGCUCUGGAGUGUGGAGAGCAUGCUGGAAGCCGGGAAAUCAGACUUUUCUACUCUGAAUCAGCCAGGAACAUUCAGGUGAUGAUUCCCUGCAGGUAG
rnacentral:lncRNA from 1 species